CGGCUACCACAUCCAAGGAAGGCAGCAGGCACGCAAAUUACCCACUCCCGGCACGGGGAGGUAGUGACAAAAAAUAACGAUACGGGACUCAUCCGAGGCCCCGUAAUCGGAAUGAGAACACCCUAAAUCCUUUAACGAGGAUCUAUUGGAGGGCAAGUCUGGUGCCAGCAGCCGCGGUAAUUCCAGCUCCAAUAGCGUAUAUUAAAGUUGUUGCGGUUAAAAAGCUCGUAGUUGGUUCUGCGUGCCACGCUGUCGGUUCACCGCCUGUCGGUGCAACUGGCAUGCCGUGGCAUGUCCUGUCGGUGGCGGAUAGGCUUCGUGGCGUGCCCUAUGCGCUUACAAGCGUGUAGGUGUCUGCGCCAUGAUGUCCUUGUACGCCGGCUCAAUCCUACCGCGGUGCUCUUUACCGAGUGUCGAGGUAGGCCGACACUGUUUACUUUGAACAAAUUAGAGUGCUUAAAGCAGGCUCUUAAAUCAGCCUGAAUAGUGGUGCAUGGAAUAAUGGAACAGGACCUUGGUUCUAUUUUGUUGGUUUUCGGAAUCCAAGGUAAUGAUCAAUAAGGACCUUGGCAAAUGCUUUCGC
rnacentral:rRNA from 1 species